AGAAGCCGUGUGCUGGGAAACUCGCAAGCACGGUUUUGAAGUGGAGUUCGGGAAGGUGACUUCCUGUUCGACCAUAAC
rfam:Arthrospira platensis NIES-39 DNA, nearly complete genome.